UUUUCUUAGACUGUUUUCCUCUUCUAGAAACAGGAAGGGGCUGGACUGCUGAAUUUUCUUUGAAAGAGUUCUUCCAGCUCUGAUUUAUCAGGUUUCUGAGAUAGGGAUUGAGAGUUUUUCAAGGAAUUUAGGAUUUGAGAGAGAUCUUGGGGGUUUGGCAAUGAAGCACUUCAUGCCAAAUACUCAAGAUUUAAAUUACCAAAGGAACUUAUCUAGCAAAAUGUCCUGAGAAUAAGUGAGCGCUACCCGGAUUUGUGAGCGUUACACGGAUUUGAAAAUGAUUACAGACGUUAUGUCACUAAGAGAGAGGGGAGCCUAGAGCACUGACUCUCCCCACAGGAAGUCUUGUUCUUAGAAGGGGAAGGAGGAAGCUGAGAACCAAGCCGCCAAGCCGAGAUGCGAAUUGAGUCAACCAGGGGGCUCAAAUGCUGGGGGUGGGUCAGCGCAGGACGUUUGCUAAGCAGCUGGGUUUAAGACCCCUGAUUGGUGAAGGCGUUGCUAAGGCAAACAGUGCCGCUUCCUUCCAUUGGCCAGUUAGUUAAGAGCCACCCGGAAGGUGGAGCUCCCCAGACAGCAAGGAAGCCCCGCCCCCUCUCCUUACCGGGAAAAGGAAGGGGGAGGCGUAACUAGGGCCGGCAUCCCAAGGCAGGCGAAUGCACUCCCUAACUGCCCAGGCCCCUAACAUCCUGAAGGGGCAACCCAAACACACCUUGGUCUCCCCACUGCUGUCAGACUCCGACACCUGGGGGCGCUUAUUUGCAUAGACAUACCGAACUCGCUGCUGUCAUCCCGCGUCAGACCGCAACUCUGAAAGGGGAGGAGCCGACACCCCUUAAAGGAACAGGAGAGGAGGCACGACUCCGCCCCCCUGAACCAGAAAAAGGUAGAGAAUUGGGAGACACCAGCGGAGAGGAAGCCUGGGAGAGGACUAGAGCGCAGUCUUGGGGAGAAAUAGCAACGUUGGGAAAUGGGAGAUCGGGGGUUGGAAGAAAACACUGAAUGGAUUGUGGGGUUUGCAGUAAAUGAGAAAAUCCAGCCAAAAUUCCAAGGAAGGAGUGCACGGAUGGAUUGGAAUAUGGUUCAACCUGUAACGCCAACGAAAGUUUUAUGCGUGCCUCCCUGAGGGAGGCAAAGUUAUUGGCCGAGCGGAGGGGGUUGGGUCCUGGGUGUCCAGACUCGUUGUCUGGACCGGAGCCCCAGCCGCUCCGCCCUAACCGUUCCCCUCCCCCCCCGACUUCCCUUCCCUUUCCCUCCCUUUUUUAGGCGACGCCAGUUUCCCACUAGGCCGGCUCCCUGGUCCUCAUCCAUCAUCCUCUACACUGGGGGGUCUCUUGCGGACUUCCAUCUGGAAAAGUCCUGGGGGGCAGAGAGACCCUCGGCCUCCCAGUCCCCGAUGGGGGCAGGGAGGAGAGAUAGAGAUCAGUGAAGACUUCCAGCUGCAGGCUGGGCUGGGGGAGGGGGUGGUUAAGCUCACCCCACAGUCAGUGCAAAGGCCUGAGAGAAAAGUGCAGCCGGGCAGAAAGUUCAAGCAAGCAAGCACACACACACACACACACACACACACAGGCACGCGCGCGCGCGCGCAAUCCACUCUGAAAAGCCAAGGAAAACCCCAUAGGAGAAAGACAUUUUUUAAAAGGCAUGUCUGGGAAGAGCGCUUUUUUCAAAUAGGCUGUCCUCUCUCCAACUUCACCCAACCAACUCCUGGGUCACUGCACACCAGUGUCAAUGCCACAGCUCCUUUGACUGCUUGGGGUGGCUUCAUAUUCACAGCCCUUCGCCACCACAGGGAGGCAGGAGAAGACUUACACCCACAUUGUUGGAUUACUGGGGGGGGGGGCAAAACUGUUGAUGGGAAUAAAGUUAAAAUAAAAAACUGGCUCAAACUGUGUUCUGUUUGGAUCUUAUAAUAUUUAAAAAUCAGGAGAUUUUACAUAAACAUCAGAACAUCUGACCUCUCUCAAAAAAGUGGGAUUGUUGGCAAUGCCAGUCCUAGGUACCCACAGAGCACUAUGCUGAGUGGUGGCCAUAGAAGAGGCAUCUGCUCUCUGUGUCACGACAGACCCAUGUGGCCCACUGAGUUCAGGUAAGCUCCCUGCCUGGUAUUGCUGAAACGUGAGCUUGAUACUCCUCCAAAAAGUAGCUCCCUGCAAGAGGUGGGAGCUCAUGUCCAGCCCAGACCAUGAAGGGCCUCCAGAAGUCCACUGGAAUUCCAGCCAGAUCUCACACCACACAGUUUCCACCCCAGCCUGCCCUUCUUUCUUCUGAUUUUUUAUCACCCAAAUAAUGUCAAAAGGGUUGCUUUUAAAAAUUACUGCCACAACGCCCUAUAACUAUUUUUACUUGGAAUUAACCUUUACACAGGGAUUCAUAACUUUGCAUAGUGGCAAAGAGGGUCUCGAUUGUGAAGGCGGCCUUAGAGCAAGUGGAAAGGAAGUUAUGAGUGUUUCCAGGAAAAGUCUGGAAAGCCACACUCCAAACUUAACAGUGCUUCCCUCUGGAGAGUGAGGUUUAGGAUGAGAAGGGUGUGUUUUUUGCUUUAUAGAAGUCUGUGCCAUUUGACUUCAUCAUAAUCAGUAUUACUUUGAUAUAAUUGUUUUCUCUUAAAAUUAAGCAACAUUUGAAACAGGGCAGAGGUAGAAUAAAUAGAUUUUGAUGGGCUGCACAGGGAGGGAAGGUGCACAGAAAAAUUAAGAUUUUGAGUAAGGGUGACUAUUCUCCAAAGAGUAGUACCAUUAAUGGAAACAAGGAAAUUGGGUAGAAGAAGAGGUUUGAGAGAGAGAAGAGUUAAGUUUGGGCCCAGGGAAUCUGGCAGAAUAAAAUGUCUAGUAGGAAAUGGGGCAGAGGCAUAGGCUAGGAUUAGAGCUAAAACUUUGGGGACUGUACACUCUGAAGGGCCAGCUAAAGCCACAUGAGAUCAGUCUCGAGGGUGGGAAAGUAGGAAAAGGAAGGCCAAGGACAGAGUCUCAGGAGAAAGACUGGUCAGAGGAGCUGGAGACAGCACACCCUCACAAAAGUUGAGAGAAUGUGAAGAAGAAGAUGUGGCCAACAAUGUUAGCCACUGCAGAGCAGUCAAGGAAGAACAGGACCUACUUCUAGAGUAGUACCUUUCAAAUAUUUCUGAGUGCAGCCCACAAUAAGAAACCAUUUUUGGACUGCAAAUUAGAUGAUUGCUCCCAAUUCUUCACGGCCUUUGUUGGAAUUACACACACACACAUCCUUUGCCACAUGACUCUGCAGUAUCUCCUCCUGGUGCUGAUGUUGGGUUUCCCCAGGCUUUGGCCAAUAAAAUGUCAACAGGCUUCUGGGCUUUUGGUUUUGUUUCAUUU